rnacentral:misc_RNA from 1 species
UCAUCACCACAUUCUACCCAAUUUUUUUUUUUUUUUGGAAUAUGAAAUAUAUCACUGAUGAAGAGCUGGAAUUACAGAUAAUCUUUUUGUAUAACACCAAAGAAUCCUGAAUCAGCAAGGAGAAAGUCAACAACAAAGUUACUGAAACUAAGAUGAGUAGCAGUAGUUAGUCAUGUACACUUGCUACAGAAAACAAACCAUCUGCUGUAUCUAAUCAUCACCACAUUCUACCCAAAAUAUUAUACAAAUUUCUGCCUAGACAAAUAACCC